GUAAAAACGAGAUGAACGUCGGUUCAUCAGGAACAUAGGUUCAUCAGGACUUCAAAUUAUUCAUCUCAGUCCUUCCAGACUCACGUUUUUCCUAUGCUAAUUUCCUAUUGUUGAUGAUAGUUUUAGUUCCAGGCAAGAACAUAUUUUCUGUACAGGUCAAAGGGUGGUGGCCAGAAAUAACGUAGCCCGCUGGUCCUGCAGCUCGCGUGGUGACCAGCACGGCCAGCUACUGCUUUCCUCAUGAGGACGCGGAGGAACGGGAUUUGGGGCCGACUGACGCCGGGCCGCGGAGCAGGGGCAGGAGGCCGUGUCCCGCCCGGUCGCAGCGACCCUAACAGGCGGCGGCGGUCUGCGGGCCGCCAUCGCUUCCCGGCCACGAUCGCUUCCCGCCCGCGGCAGCACCACGGAGAGCGCCAGGGGCGCCGGGCCCACAAAAUGGCCGCUGCCCGGCGGGCCCCGCGCCGCGCCGCAAGCGGGGGCGUCCAGAGCGCUGAUCGACAGCGUGUGCCAGGGAGGGAGAGCAAGCUGUGAGCCUUCAGCCCCUAACCCCGGAGGAAAGGGAUCUGUUUUGCUGCUCGUCAAUUGGCAGCGAGAAGUAUCCAUGAAGUGCUGGGGAAUGAGGAAACAGAGAGCUUGAAGAAUUAACUGAAUGUCAUUACAGAGGUUUUCUGCUCCCAAAGUACUAGCAAGAGACGAACAGGUAUUUAUUACUGAAAAAACAUACAUCUGAAGUUCUAAAUACCAGCAGCAGCCUAUCUCCAACAGAUGCAACUCAAUGUCAGUUUUUGUCCCUUUGGAAGGCUAUUUCUGCAUGCUGUGGGAGUGCCUCAGGAAGGGAAGUAAUGAAGCUAUUGUAAAUAUGUAUGCUUAACUAUGAAUCUGAAUUAA